ACACAAGGGGGCACAAAUGUGUGCCUUUGGUUGUGCACGUAAUGGGGCACAACUGUGUGCAUUUUGUUGGGCACAGAAUGGGGCACAAAUGUGAGCUUUUUGUGCCUUUUGGUUGUGCACAUAAUGGGGCACAAAUGUAUACCUGGUGUGCCUUUGUUCUGGGACACAAUGGGGCACAAAUUUGUGCCUGGUGUGCGUUUUGGUGCGGGACACAAUGUGCCACAAAAGUUUGCCUUGUGUGCCUUUGUUUGGGCACAGAAUAGGGCACAAAUGUGUGCUUUUUGUGCCUUUUGGUUGGUCACACAAUGGGGCACAAUUGCGUGCCUUGUGUUCCUUUUGGUUUGGCCCAGAAUGGGGCAGAAAUGUGUGCUUUGUGUGCCUUUGGUUGAGAAUACAAUGGGGCACAAAGGGGUGCCUUGUAUGUCUUUUGGUAGGACACACAUUGGGCACAAAUGUGUGCCUUGUUUUCCUUUUUUUGGGGCAUACAAAGGAGCACAAAUGUGUGCCUUGGUUUUUUUGAGGGGAACAAAAUGGAGCACAAAUGUGUGCCUGGUGUGCCUUUGUUUGAGCACAGAAUGGGGCACAAAUGUGUGCCUUUGGUUGGGCACAGAGCGGGGCCAAGUAGAAGAGACUUUGUUGGGGGCAGCCUGGGAAUGUCUUUGGUGGCCUUGGCAUGCGUCAGGAGGCGGGACAGAAGAGGCAGUGUCUCUUGGUGUGUCUUUGUGUCUGCCUUUGUCUAGAAAUGCCUCGUUUUGUUUUGCAGGCRGUGAAGAGAGCUGGGCUGGCAUCAGCCAGGCCAGCCCAGGYGAUGGAGUGGUCGAGCUCAGGCAGCAGCUCCCAGGUAGGUUGCGCCAGGCGUUUUUUGGGGGGGAGGGAUGGAUAGACCGUGGUUGCCUUUGUAGUGGCUGUGUUUCCUUUUUAUGCAUUUGGAUUUUGAGAGCAGAGAAAUGGGAUAAUGCUGGUCAGACAGCGGAGGUGCUUGAGGAGCAGGCACUGUCAGUUGUAUCCCCCAAGCGCAGGAGCUGCCCAGGCCGUGGCAGUUAGCUGUGUGAGUGGCUGUGGCAGGUAGGAGACAGUUGCAUUUGGGAAGGCUGUGUCAGUGCAGGCAGGGUAGCAGGUGUUGCAGGAAAGAGUGUGAGGAUGCGGGUGAGGUUUUAGCUGAGUGUGAGAGCAU
rnacentral:lncRNA from 1 species